CCCCGUCGUCGUGACUGGCGUUUGGGUGGACCACCACCGGGGAGCGGCGAUCGUGCUCACGGCCUGGCCGUCCACC
rnacentral:ncRNA from 2 species